rnacentral:rRNA from 1 species
UUAAGUAGACCGCCUGGGGAGUACGGUCGCAAGAUUAAAACUCAAAUGAAUUGACGGGGGCCCGCACAAGCGGUGGAGCAUGUGGUUUAAUUCGAUGCAACGCGAAGAACCUUACCUACUCUUGACAUCCAGAGAAUCUAGCGGAGACGCUGGAGUGCCUUCGGGAGCUCUGAGACAGGUGCUGCAUGGCUGUCGUCAGCUCGUGUUGUGAAAUGUUGGGUUAAGUCCCGCAACGAGCGCAACCCUUAUCCUUGUUUGCCAGCACGUAAUGGUGGGAACUCCAGGGAGACUGCCGGUGAUAAACCGGAGGAAGGUGGGGACGACGUCAAGUCAUCAUGGCCCUUACGAGUAGGGCUA